GAAGAACCGAACUGAGCUAUUAUGGCACAAAUUUGGAAGCAGCUGGGAUGAUGCAAGUAAUGUUGCACAAUCAAGCUGGGUCUCUUGCUGUCCAGCUGUAAGGGGGUCACAGCAUUAGGGAGACUGGACAAAGACAUCUCCCUCCCUAGGGAAUGCUACACCAAGGUCCAUCAUUUGUACCAAGGUCUUUGAUGGGAAAAUGCUGUCUUGUCCCUUGGAAAGGAGAAUCUGAAUUACAAAAUCCAUGUAUGAACNAAGUUAAGGAAUCCAUGCAGAUGAGUGUUUUUAGAUCUUUUUAUUGAACAGCAAAUGGAAAACAAAACCAGAAGCAACUAAAUGUAGAUUUUUUAGGAACAAAGCUUUAAUAAACACAGU
ensembl:lncRNA